rnacentral:misc_RNA from 1 species
CGGAAACUCGCUCGUUCGAGGGUUCGGCUCCCUUUUAAAUGCAUUAGCGGAGCCACUCGCUUCCGGCUAACCAUCGACGUGAUAAUUAAAACCUUACGUUGUUGGUUCCGGUCCCAGAGUCCGCUCACAAUCGUCCUUCAUCGGACAACACACAAUGACAAUUUGACCUCAAAUCAGGUAGGACUACCCGCUGAACUUAA